UCUCCGGUGUAAGGAUAUGUAUACACAUGCACGUAUAUUUAUACAGCUUUUCAAAGUGCUGCUUUUUAAAAGGACGUUGUAAAAGUUUUAUCCAUUUCUAGGAAUAGCCAGCAUGGCACAUAAAACUGUGGUACGUAUUCCUGUGCUAAUCACAGAAUCAUUGGGGCCUCGUCCAUCCUGACUCAAAUAAGACGUAAAUGAAUGAUGUUCUGAGUGGUGCAGUGAUGAGAGCCGUGAAACUUGGAGAGAGGGCACAGAGGCCAAGCACACUCCACCCAGAACUGCAGCAAACCGCAACCAUUUUAACUGAUGGAAAAGUCAUGGGACUGAUGCCAAGCAGCCUGGCUCUGCGGAUCUGAAAGCAUAGGGGAAGGUUCACCUGGAAAAUAAGACCUCACCGAAACCUCCCCUUCCUCAUAGUUCUGCUUCUACCUCUCCUGCUCCACUCGUUCCUAUUUGCCUCCACAGCAAAACACUGCACACACAGUGCAACACAAGCAGAAGAAGGUCUUGAGACAGUGGUGACAGCAAAAGGGCAUUAAAUUAAGACUAUUGAUGCUGGUGGAAAUCAAUGCUGAAGGAGGGGCACCUCCCCUGCGUGCAUCAUGCAGCAAUUUGAAGAGAUCACAGCCAUCCCACAGUGAAUAUGUCGGGGAAUGAUGGUGGCUGCCGGGAGAGCCCUCUGCAGGAAAAGGCAGCGCUCCACUUUGCCUCUCCAGAUCCCUUGUAUUAAGGGCAAGGCAGAAAAACACUGCUGCUCCCAUUGACCCAGUCUCCAGGCUUUCUUCAAAGCUCUGUACAGCAAUGCUGAAAGCCUUUUAAGGUA
rnacentral:lncRNA from 1 species